rnacentral:rRNA from 1 species
CAAUAGCGUAUAUUAAAGUUGUUGCAGUUAAAAAGCUCGUAGUUGGAUUUCUGCUGAGGACGAUCGGUCCGCCCACUGGGUGAGUAUCUGGCUCGGCCUUGGCAUCUCCUUGGAGAACGUUGCUGCACUUGACUGUGUGGCGCGGUAUCCAGGACUUUUACUUUGAGGAAAUUAGAGUGUUUCAAGCAGGCACACGCCUUGAAUACAUUAGCAUGGAAUAAUGAGAUAGGACCUUGGUUCUAUUUUGUUGGUUUCUAGAGCUGAGGUAAUGAUUAAUAGGGAUAGUUGGGGGCAUUCGUAUUUAACUGUCAGAGGUGAAAUUCUUGGAUUUGUUAAAGAUGGACUACUGCGAAAGCAUUUGCCAAGGAUGUUUUCAUUGA